AGUAAAAGUCGUAACAAGGUCUCCGUUGGUGAACCAGCGGAGGGAUCAUUACAGAGUUGCAAAACUCCCACAAACCAUCGCGAAUCUUACCCGUACGGUUGCCUCGGCGCUGGCGGUCCGGAAAGGCCCUCGGGCCCUCCCGGAUCCUCGGGUCUCCCGCUCGCGGGAGGCUGCCCGCCGGAGUGCCGAAACUAAACUCUUGAUAUUUUAUGUCUCUCUGAGUAAACUUUUAAAUAAGUCAAAACUUUCAACAACGGAUCUCUUGGUUCUGGCAUCGAUGAAGAACGCAGCGAAAUGCGAUAAGUAAUGUGAAUUGCAGAAUUCAGUGAAUCAUCGAAUCUUUGAACGCACAUUGCGCUCGCCAGUAUUCUGGCGAGCAUGCCUGUUCGAGCGUCAUUUCAACCAUCAAGCUCUGCUUGCGUUGGGGAUCCGCGGCUGUCCGCGGUCCCUCAAAAUCAGUGGCGGGCUCGCUAGUCACACCGAGCGUAGUAACUCUACAUCGCUAUGGUCGUGCGGCGGGUUCUUGCCGUAAAACCCCCCAUUUCUAAGGUUGACCUCGGAUCAGGUAGGAAUACCCGCUGAACUUAAGCAUAUCAAUAAGCGGAGGAAAAGAAACCAACAGGGAUUGCCCCAGUAACG
rnacentral:rRNA from 1 species